rnacentral:rRNA from 1 species
UACAGAGGAUGCAAGCGUUAUCCGGAAUGAUUGGGCGUAAAGCGUCUGUAGGUGGCUUUUUAAGUCCGCCGUCAAAUCCCAGGGCUCAACUCUGGACAGGCGGUGGAAACUACCAAGCUGGAGUACGGUAGGGACAGAGGGAAUUUCCGGUGGAGCGGUGAAAUGCGUAGAGAUCGGGAAGAACACCAACGGCGAAAGCACUCUGCUGGGCCGACACUGACGCUGAGAGACGAAAGCUAGGGGAGCGAAUGGG